CCUACGGGAGGCUGCAGUGGGGAAUAUUGGACAAUGGGGGCAACCCUGAUCCAGCCAUGCCGCGUGUGUGAAGAAGGCCCUCGGGGUGUAAAGCACUUUCAGUGAGGAAGAACGCCUGGUGGUUAAUACCCAUCAGGAAAGACAUCACUCACAGAAGAAGCACCGGCUAACUCCGUGCCAGCAGCCGCGGUAAUACGGAGGGUGCGAGCGUUAAUCGGAAUUACUGGGCGUAAAGCGCGCGUAGGUGGCUUGAUAAGCCGGUUGUGAAAGCCCCGGGCUCAACCUGGGAACGGCAUCCGGAACUGUCAAGCUAGAGUGCAGGAGAGGAAGGUAGAAUUCCCGGUGUAGCGGUGAAAUGCGUAGAGAUCGGGAGGAAUACCAGUGGCGAAGGCGGCCUUCUGGACUGACACUGACACUGAGGUGCGAAAGCGUGGGUAGCAAACAGGAUUAGAUACCCCAGUAGUC
rnacentral:rRNA from 1 species